UACGUAGGGUGCAAGCGUUGUCCGGAAUUAUUGGGCGUAAAGAGCUCGUAGGCGGUUUGUCGCGUCUGCUGUGAAAUCCCGAGGCUCAACCUCGGGUCUGCAGUGGGUACGGGCAGACUAGAGUGCGGUAGGGGAGAUUGGAACUCCUGGUGUAGCGGUGGAAUGCGCAGAUAUCAGGAAGAACACCGAUGGCGAAGGCAGAUCUCUGGGCCGUAACUGACGCUGAGGAGCGAAAGCAUGGGGAGCGAACAGG
rnacentral:rRNA from 1 species